rnacentral:misc_RNA from 1 species
GUUGUGAUAGCAGCUUUUGCCUAAAAGGAGCCCCUAUGAAAGCUUUUGAGCUCAAAUGGGGGUUUAGUAAGAUACGAAGAUCUGGGCUACUAAAAAGAAGCCCAUCGAACAAAUAACUACUAAAUAAAUUAUUUCGCCAAACAACUCCAACACGAUCUGAACAGCUAGUACGAGUAGUCCCUUCAAACACAAGGGCCUAACCAACCAAGCAUCUCCAGUACAUAUGAAUAUGAUUGAGAAGGGUAUAAAU